AUGUCACGUGGGGCUGAGGUGCCUAGCCUGUCUGGUUGGCAGAGCUGUGGGAGCAGCUCUGAAGACAGCUCCCUGCCCUGUCCUUGAACCGGGGCCCCUGAGUACAGCUGACACUGUUAGGUCUUGCCCAGUCCAUCAGUGGGUUCCCUGGGUUCAUCCAAUUGCAGGUGAGGCACCAGAAGCUCAGAGAGGUGCUGUCACCUGGCAAAGCUCCUGCAGCUAAAUGUAGCUGGAGUCUGAACCCUGAAAGUGUGACUUCAGAAUCGGGGGGUGGAGUGCUCAGCUGCUGGGCCAGACAGACCAUGUCAUACAGCUGGUCAAGCCAUUGCCUCCCAGACCUUGAGUGAACAGAGAGCAGCGUGCCUCAUCCUCAGCGUUGCCCUCCCUCCUCUGAUGGACACAGCUCCCCAGUUGCACUCUGUGAUGCCACUGAGCAGGCACCUGACCCCUCUUGACUCUUUUAGUCCUCCCUGCUGUCCCUGUGGGACAUGCUGGUGUUCUCCUUGUAUAGACAAGGAAACUAAAGCUGGGAGCUCCAGGGCAUCAGAGCUGGACCGGAAGCCUCGGUAUGCCGUUCUAUGUAAAAAAAAAAAAAAGUACAUUUUAAGGCUAGAACCUCCUAGGGAAGGCAGAGGCAGGUGGAUCUCGGUGAGUUCGAGGCCAGCCUGGUCUAUAAAGGGAGUCCAGGACAGCCAAGGCUACACAGAGAAACCCUGUCUUGAAAAAAACAAAAUAGAAACUUACUAUGUAGCCCUGGCUUGCCAAAACUCACUCUCUAGGUAGACCAGGUUAACCUCAAACUUACAGAGAUCUGCCUGCCUCAGCCUCCAGAGGCUGAUAGUAAAGGCACUCACCAAACUGUCCGGCAGCUCUAUAUACUUAAACUCUCCAUAUACUUUAUUCAUUUCACUGCCUGGUUUUUGUUUGUUUUGUUUUGUUUGUUUUGUAGACCAGGUUGGCCUCAAAGUCAGAGAUUUGCUUGCCUCAGCCUCCUGAGUGCUGGGAUUACAGGCCUGGGCCAGCACUUACCUCUUGAUUUUCAUCGUGGAGAUGAUGGACUUACUGUAAUGCCGCUCUCCCACACUAGAAGAUUUGGUUCUUGGGCCAAAUAGUUGCUCCCCAUUGAAAGGAUGUUGUACUUUCUCUUACUGGAGACAAAGGUUUGCAUGUCUGGGAUGAAGUAUGGAAUAAAGGAACCGGAAGAUCCAGGAGAAAAGGAUUUUCAGUGUCACAUAAGAUGUGUGACUGGGUCUGCCUGGGAGGCCAGGGACCAGACUGUGGGCAGCCAACUUGCCUGUUUCUGUCUCCUGCCUGAGCCAGCCCUAGUCCCCAGGCAUAUUCUCUCGUGGUUUCUCUUAACCACUGUUCAUUGAUUAUCCAGCCAUACCUCAGCAAACUUUGCAUUUCCCAGUCUCUCAGCAAAUACAUUCUCACCAUUUUUCUGUUAACUCAGGAACCCAGAGCUUCGGGCUCUCAAGACGUCAUCUUCAUUUUCUGCAGAAUGGAGAGGAGCGGAAGCCACAGCAAGCUGCCCAGCUUUUUAUCAUGGUGGAGGGGAGGAUGAAUACAGGCCUCAUAUGCUCUGUGUUCCUCAAAGGUCUGUCGUCUGUGGAGUGAGCCUGACCUAAUCGGUGUGACCUGGGCGUGAGCCUCUGAAGGGUCCCAGAGUCCCCAGAACUGCUCUCCACCUGAUCCUCAUCUGUGGUACUGGUGUGUACAGGAGGAAAGAGAGAGGCCACAGACCCACAGAUCCACAGUACAGGAGUUCUGUCUGAAUGGCAGUGUUAAACUUACAGUUUGGCUCCUGAAUGCUUCAUGGCACAUUCUUUUGUUGUUGUUUUGUUUUUCAAGACAGGGUUUCUCUGUGUAGCCUUGGCUGUCCUGGAACUCACUCUGCAGACCAGGCUGGCCUUGAAUUUGGAAAUACUCCAGCCUCUGCCUCCUCGAGUGCGGGGAUCAAAGGGGAGCGCCACCACUGCCCAGAUAUUUUCACCCUGUUAUUGUACAGAUGACAUUAAAACAAAAAUGGGCCCAGAGCCACAGCGCCACAUCCUUUCUACCAGUUCCUGACAGUCAGCUGCUCUCUCUCGGCUGUGCUUUUUCCCAGCAGUGGCUCAGGAAACCAAGAAAAUGAGGUUGAGCUCCCUAGUCCUGCUCCAUGUUUGGAGGGGAGGAUCUAAGCUACUGGGCUUGGAUGGAACUGUGGUCCAUAGCCAGGGGUGACUUCCUGCCUUCAAGUGGACAGAGCAUUGCCGUAGAGGAGGCCUGACUUGCAGCCUUGGCCCCACUAGGAAUCUGCCCUCAAGGACCUAACCCUUUCUCAAAAAAAAAAAAAAAAGUUUUUUUUUUUUUUUUUUGAGAAAGGGUUUCUGUCUGUGUAGCCUUGGCUUGUAGACCAGGCUGGCCUCGAACUCACAGCAAUUCUUCGGCCUUUGCCUCUUUGAGUUCUGAGAUUAAAGGCAUGUGCCCCCACAACUAGCAUAAAUUUUUUUUUCUUGUCUCUCUCUCUCUCUCUUUUUCACCUGAGCCCUUUCUAAGCCUUGGCUUUCCUCAUCCACUUGCGGGAGAAGUAACUGGCCAGCCAUUCCCAGAGUGGGUCCCUGUGACGAAGGGUUGUGCCUAAGAGGAGGGGAGAUUUCUGAGCAGACUCCUUGGGGAGAGGCUGGGAUGUAGCUGGUUUGGGAGAAUAAUGCUUACCUGUGAUUCUAGCACUCAGGCGAUGGAGCCUAGAGAUUCAGAAGUUUAAGCUCAUCCUCAGCUACACAGAGAACUCCAGGCUAUGCCAGGCUACAAGAGACCACAUCUCAAAAGAAAUUGGAGGUGGAGGGGAGAACAGGACUGCCCCUGGAUUUUGUUGUUUUGUUUUUGUUGGGUUUUUUUUGGUUUUCUGAUACAGGGUCUCUGUAGCCCUGGCUGUUCUGGAACUUGCUGUGUAGACCAGGCUGGCCUCAAACUCACAAAGAUCCACCUGCCUCUGUCCUGAGUGCUGGGAUUGAAGGUGUGUGCCACCGUGCUAAGCUUUCAGUGGCGUCAUGGUUUGGUUUGGUUUUGGUUUUGGUUUUUCGAGACCGGGCUUUUCUGUGUAACCCUGGCUGUCCUGUAACUUGCUCUGUAGCGGAGUCUGGCCUUGAACUCAUAAAGAUCCACCUGCCUCUG